rnacentral:tRNA from 1 species
GCGGGUAAGGUGUUACGGUAGCAUGUCAGUCUUCCAAACUGAUGGCGUCGGUUCGACUCCGACUACCCGCUCCA